AUUGAACGCUGGCGGCAGGCCUAACACAUGCAAGUCGAGCGGAUGAAGGGAGCUUGCUCCUGGAUUCAGCGGCGGACGGGUGAGUAAUGCCUAGGAAUCUGCCUGGUAGUGGGGGAUAACGUCCGGAAACGGGCGCUAAUACCGCAUACGUCCUGAGGGAGAAAGUGGGGGAUCUUCGGACCUCACGCUAUCAGAUGAGCCUAGGUCGGAUUAGCUAGUUGGUGGGGUAAAGGCCUACCAAGGCGACGAUCCGUAACUGGUCUGAGAGGAUGAUCAGUCACACUGGAAGUGAGAAACGGUACAGACUCCUACGGGAGGCAGCAGUGGGGAAUAUUGGACAAUGGGCGAAAGCCUGAUCCAGCAAUGCCGCGUGUGUGAAGAAGGUCUUCGGAUUGUAAAGCACUUUAAGUUGGGAGGAAGGGCAGUAAGUUAAUACCUUGCUGUAUUGACGGUACCAACAGAAUAAGCACCGGCUAACUUCGUG
rnacentral:rRNA from 1 species